UACGAAGGGGGCUAGCGUUGCUCGGAAUCACUGGGCGUAAAGGGCGCGUAGGCGGAUCUUUAAGUCGGGGGUGAAAGCCUGAGGCUCAACCUCAGAAUUGCCUUCGAUACUGGAGAUCUUGAGACCGGAAGAGGUAAGUGGAACUGCGAGUGUAGAGGUGAAAUUCGUAGAUAUUCGCAAGAACACCAGUGGCGAAGGCGGCUUCCUGGACCGACACUGACGCUGAGGCGCGAAAGCUAGGGGAGCAAACGGG
rnacentral:rRNA from 1 species